rnacentral:tRNA from 1 species
GAUCCGGUAGUUCAGCUGGUUAGAAUCCCGCCCUGUCACGGCGGAGGUCGCGGGUUCGAGUCCCGUCCGGAUCG